CGACCGGCGCACGGGUGAGUAACGCGUAUCCAACCUGCCUUACACUCUUGGACAGCCUUCUGAAAGGGAGAUUAAUACAAGAUGUUAUCAUGAGUAAGCAUUUUCGCAUGAUUAAAGGUAUUCCGGUAGACGAUGGGGAUGCGUUCCAUUAGAUAGUAGGCGGGGUAACGGCCCACCUAGUCUUCGAUGGAUAGGGGUUCUGAGAGGAAGGUCCCCCACAUUGGAACUGAGACACGGUCCAA
rnacentral:rRNA from 1 species